rnacentral:rRNA from 1 species
AUUCCAGCUCCAAUAGCGUAUAUUAAAGUUGUUGCGGUUAAAAAGCUCGUAGUUGGAUCUCUGUCGAAAAUGGGCGGUCCUCACUACGUGGGUGUAUUGUUUCAGUUUCGGCAUCCUCAUGGGGAACGUUGCUGCGCUUGAUUGCGUGGCGCGGUAUCCAUGACUUUUACUUUGAGGAAAUUAGAGUGUUCACGGCAGGCAAUCGCCUUGAAUAUAUUAGCAUGGAAUAAUAAUAUAGGAUCUUGGUUCUAUUUUGUUGGUUUCUAGAGCUAAGAUAAUGAUUAAUAGGGAUAAUUGGGGGUCUUUGUAUCAUGGCGUCAGAGGUGGAAUUCUUGGAUUGCCAUGCGACAAACUACUGCGAAAGCAUUGACCAAGGAUGUUUUCAUUG